rnacentral:rRNA from 1 species
GACGAACGCUGGCGGCGUGCCUAAUACAUGCAAGUAGAACGCUGAAGGAGGAGCUUGCUUCUCUGGAUGAGUUGCGAACGGGUGAGUAACGCGUAGGUAACCUGCCUGGUAGCGGGGGAUAACUAUUGGAAACGAUAGCUAAUACCGCAUAAGAGUAGAUGUUGCAUGACAUUUGCUUAAAAGGUGCAAUUGCAUCACUACCAGAUGGACCUGCGUUGUAUUAGCUAGUUGGUGAGGUAACGGCUCACCAGGGCAACGAUACAUAGCCGACCUGAGAGGGUGAUCGGCCACACUGGGACUGAGACACGGCCCAGACUCCUACGGGAGGCAGCAGUAGGGAAUCUUCGGCAAUGGACGGAAGUCUGACCGAGCAACGCCGCGUGAGUGAAGAAGGUUUUCGGAUCGUAAAGCUCUGUUGUAAGAGAAGAACGAGUGUGAGAGUGGAAAGUUCACACUGUGACGGUAUCUUACCAGAAAGGGACGGCUAACUACGUG